AUUCACAUGGAACGAGUGGCGGACGGGUGAGUAACACGUGGGUAACCUGCCCUUAAGUGGGGGAUAACAUUUGGAAACAGAUGCUAAUACCGCAUAGAUCCAAGAACCGCAUGGUUCUUGGCUGAAAGAUGGCGUAAGCUAUCGCUUUUGGAUGGACCCGCGGCGUAUUAGCUAGUUGGUGAGGUAAUGGCUCACCAAGGCGAUGAUACGUAGCCGAACUGAGAGGUUGAUCGGCCACAUUGGGACUGAGACACGGCCCAAACUCCUACGGGAGGCAGCAGUAGGGAAUCUUCCACAAUGGACGCAAGUCUGAUGGAGCAACGCCGCGUGAGUGAAGAAGGCUUUCGGGUCGUAAAACUCUGUUGUUGGAGAAGAAUGGUCGGCAGAGUAACUGUUGUCGGCGUGACGGUAUCCAACCAGAAAGCCACGGCUAACUACGUGCCAGCAGCCGCGGUAAUACGUAGGUGGCAAGCGUUAUCCGGAUUUAUUGGGCGUAAAGCGAGCGCAGGCGGUUUUUUAAGUCUGAUGUGAAAGCCCUCGGCUUAACCGAGGAAGCGCAUCGGAAACUGGGAAACUUGAGUGCAGAAGAGGACAGUGGAACUCCAUGUGUAGCGGUGAAAUGCGUAGAUAUAUGGAAGAACACCAGUGGCGAAGGCGGCUGUCUGGUCUGUAACUGACGCUGAGGCUCGAAAGCAUGGGUAGCGAACAGGAUUAGAUACCCUGGUAGUCCAUGCCGUAAACGAUGAAUGCUAGGUGUUGGAGGGUUUCCGCCCUUCAGUGCCGCAGCUAACGCAUUAAGCAUUCCGCCUGGGGAGUACGACCGCAAGGUUGAAACUCAAAGGAAUUGACGGGGGCCCGCACAAGCGGUGGAGCAUGUGGUUUAAUUCGAAGCAACGCGAAGAACCUUACCAGGUCUUGACAUCUUUUGAUCACCUGAGAGAUCAGGUUUCCCCUUCGGGGGCAAAAUGACAGGUGGUGCAUGGUUGUCGUCAGCUCGUGUCGUGAGAUGUUGGGUUAAGUCCCGCAACGAGCGCAACCCUUAUGACUAGUUGCCAGCAUUUAGUUGGGCACUCUAGUAAGACUGCCGGUGACAAACCGGAGGAAGGUGGGGAUGACGUCAAAUCAUCAUGCCCCUUAUGACCUGGGCUACACACGUGCUACAAUGGAUGGUACAACGAGUUGCGAGACCSCGAGGUCAAGCUAAUCUCUUAAAGCCAUUCUCAGUUCGGACUGUAGGCUGCAACUCGCCUACACGAAGUCGGAAUCGCUAGUAAUCGC
rnacentral:rRNA from 1 species